rnacentral:rRNA from 1 species
GACGAACGCUGGCGGCGUGCUUAACACAUGCAAGUCGAACGGUGACGAGGAGCUUGCUCCUCUGAUCAGUGGCGAACGGGUGAGUAACACGUGAGUAACCUGCCCCAGACUCUGGGAUAACAGUUGGAAACAGCUGCUAAUACCGGAUACGAGACGGAGAGGCAUCUCUACCGUCUGGAAAGUUUUUCGGUCUGGGAUGGACUCGCGGCCUAUCAGCUUGUUGGUGAGGUAAUGGCUCACCAAGGCGACGACGGGUAGCCGGCCUGAGAGGGCGACCGGCCACACUGGGACUGAGACACGGCCCAGACUCCUACGGGAGGCAGCAGUGGGGAAUAUUGCACAAUGGGCGAAAGCCUGAUGCAGCGACGCCGCGUGAGGGAUGACGGCCUCGGUUGG